GACGAACGCUGGCGGCGUGCUUAACACAUGCAAGUCGAACGGAAAGGCCUGCUUUCCCUUGUGGAUUGCGGGUACUCGAGUGGCGAACGGGUGAGUAACACGUGAGUGAUCUGCCCCCAACUUGGGUAUAAGCCUGGGAAACUGGGUCUAAUUCCCGAUAGGACUGCAGGGUGGUGCCUGUGGUGGAAAACGAUUUUCUAGUGGUUGGGGAUGAGCUCGCGGCCUAUCAGCUUGUUGGUGGGGUAAUGGCCUACCAAGGCGGCGACGGGUAGCCGGCCUGAGAGGGUGGACGGCCACAUUGGGACUGAGAUACGGCCCAGACUCCUACGGGAGGCAGCAGUGGGGAAUAUUGCACAAUGGGCGGAAGCCUGAUGCAGCGACGCCGCGUGGGGGAUGACGGUCUUCGGGUUGUAAACUCCUUUCGACCGCGAGGAAGCCACCUGGUUGGAAGGGUGGUGACGGUAGUGGUAGAAGAAGCACCGGCUAACUACGUG
rnacentral:rRNA from 1 species